GACGAACGCUGGCGGCGUGCUUAACACAUGCAAGUCGAACGGAAAGGCCUGCUUUCCCUUGUGGAUUGCGGGUGCUCGAGUGGCGAACGGGUGAGUAACACGUGAGUGAUCUGCCCCCAACUUGGGUAUAAGCCUGGGAAACUGGGUCUAAUUCCCGAUAGGACUGCAGGGUGGUGCCUGUGGUGGAAAACGGUUUUCUAGUGGUUGGGGAUGAGCUCGCGGCCUAUCAGCUUGUUGGUGGGGUAAUGGCCUACCAAGGCGGCGACGGGUAGCCGGCCUGAGAGGGUGGACGGCCACAUUGGGACUGAGAUACGGCCCAGACUCCUACGGGAGGCAGCAGUGGGGAAUAUUGCACAAUGGGCGGAAGCCUGAUGCAGCGACGCCGCGUGGGGGAUGACGGCCUUCGGGUUGUAAACUCCUUUCGACCGCGAGGAAGCCACCUGGUUGGAAGGGUGGUGACGGUAGUGGUAGAAGAAGCACCGGCUAACUACGUG
rnacentral:rRNA from 1 species